CGCCUGCCCUGUGACAAAAGGUUUAACGGCCGCGGUAUUUUGACCGUGCAAAGGUAGCGCAAUCACUUGUCUUUUAAAUGAAGACCUGUAUGAAUGGCAUCACGAGGGCUUAACUGUCUCCUUUUUCAAGUCAAUGAAAUUGAUCCCCCCGUGCAGAAGCGGGGAUAUAACCAUAAGACGAGAAGACCCUAUGAAGCUUUAGAUACAAAACAGACCUUGUUAAACACUUCAAAACAAAGAAAUAAACUAAGAGGAUCCCUGUUUUAAUGUCUUUGGUUGGGGCGACCACGGGGGAACAAAAAGCCCCCAUGCGGACUGAGAAAACAAUUCUCACAACCAAGAGCUACAACUCUAGUUAACAGAACUUCUGACCUUGAGAUCCGGCAAUGCCGAUCAACGGACCGAGUUACUCUAGGGAUAACAGCGCAAUCCCCUUUUAGAGUUCAUAUCGACAAGGGGGUUUACGACCUCGAUGUUGGAUCAGGACAUCCUAAUGGUGCAGCAGCUAUUAAGGGUUCGUUUGUUCAACGAUUAAAGUCCU
rnacentral:rRNA from 2 species